rnacentral:rRNA from 1 species
UACGUAGGGUGCGAGCGUUGUCCGGAAUUAUUGGGCGUAAAGGGCUCGUAGGCGGUUCGUCACGUCGGGAGUGAAAACUCGGAGCUUAACUCUGAGCCUGCUUCCGAUACGGGCAGACUAGAGGUAGGCAGGGGAGAGCGGAACUCCUGGUGUAGCGGUGGAAUGCGCAGAUAUCAGGAAGAACACCGGUGGCGAAGGCGGCUCUCUGGGCCUUACCUGACGCUGAGGAGCGAAAGCGUGGGUAGCGAACAGG